CGAUGAGUAGGGCGGGACACGUGGUAUCCUGUCUGAAUAUGGGGGGACCAUCCUCCAAGGCUAAAUACUCCUGACUGACCGAUAGUGAACCAGUACCGUGAGGGAAAGGCGAAAAGAACCCCGGCGAGGGGAGUGAAAAAGAACCUGAAACCGUGUACGUACAAGCAGUGGGAGCACAGGUUUACCUGUGUGACUGCGUACCUUUUGUAUAAUGGGUCAGCGACUUAUAUUCUGUAGCAAGGUUAACCGUAUAGGGGAGCCGCAGGGAAACCGAGUCUUAACCGGGCGUUAAGUUGCAGGGUAUAGACCCGAAACCCGGUGAUCUAGCCAUGGGCAGGUUGAAGGUUGGGUAACACUAACUGGAGGACCGAACCGACUAAUGUUGAAAAAUUAGCGGAUGACCUGUGGCUGGGGGUGAAAGGCCAAUCAAACCGGGAGAUAGCUGGUUCUCCCCGAAAGCUAUUUAGGUAGCGCCUCGUGAACUCAUCUCCGGGGGUAGAGCACUGUUUCGG
rnacentral:rRNA from 1 species